AGACAAGUCCGCAUUAUAUACUUUUUUCCGUGAUCCGGGUUUUCUGAAAGUGUGCACGGGCAACACACGUGUUUCCGUUUCAACGAAAACAACACGGCGAACGCUUAUAUUUUACAUCCUCAAAACUACCUGAUGUCAGAUGAAGAUGCCCUGGACCUCAUGUUACAGGAUGACCCAAACGAUCAUGCAUCAGUAUAAACAUAAUACAUGAAGAGUAUUUACUCCCUCAAGUCCAGCCAUCCUUGCUAUCAUCAGAUACAGGGCCAGCUUUUGUGCAAUAUGAAUUAUUCCGUCUCGAUUGUUUGGACUACAGCCGACUGCAUACAAAAUUAUAUCCGGAUCAUGAAGGACUCUUAGUGGACAAAGAACAUUGCAAAAUGAUAGAAUUUUAUUGCUGCAACUUGAUUAUUUGGACAACAGCUGACUGCAGAAUUAUCCAGGAUCAUAAAGGACUCUGAAUGGACACAUAACAUUAACAGAAUUAUAUUCUUUUAAUAUUUCCAUUCAUGAAUGAAUUCAAAAUCAACAUGUAUUGAUAGAAUAUACUUAGUAAAACAAUAACAAUCAGUAGUGCAUUUUUUAUUUAUACUAAACUAUUUGACACAC